GACGAACGCUGGCGGCGUGCCUAAUACAUGCAAGUCGAACGCUUCUUUCCUCCCGAGUGCUUGCACUCAAUUGGAAAGAGGAGUGGCGGACGGGUGAGUAACACGUGGGUAACCUACCCAUCAGAGGGGGAUAACACUUGGAAACAGGUGCUAAUACCGCAUAACAGUUUAUGCCGCAUGGCAUAAGAGUGAAAGGCGCUUUCGGGUGUCGCUGAUGGAUGGACCCGCGGUGCAUUAGCUAGUUGGUGAGGUAACGGCUCACCAAGGCCACGAUGCAUAGCCGACCUGAGAGGGUGAUCGGCCACACUGGGACUGAGACACGGCCCAGACUCCUACGGGAGGCAGCAGUAGGGAAUCUUCGGCAAUGGACGAAAGUCUGACCGAGCAACGCCGCGUGAGUGAAGAAGGUGUUCGGAUCGUAAAACUCUGUUGUUAGAGAAGAACAAGGACGUUAGUAACUGAACGCCCCCUGACGGUAUCUAACCAGAAAGCCACGGCUAACUACGUG
rnacentral:rRNA from 1 species